rnacentral:lncRNA from 10 species
UAACCAUGUCCCAAGCACUGCUCUAAGUUCCCAAUGUGUCCGGAAUUGGUGGGUUCUUGGUCUCACUGACUUCAAGAAUGAAGCCACGGACCCUCGCGACUAUGCUAAAAACAGCCUCAGGACCUUCAGCACUGAUCAACAAUCCUGGGCAUGGGCUGACCGACAGUUUUCACCCAGAGAGUGAAGAUCAUGGAGGAGCCAUCUUAAAUUCUGCCCAGCGCAGGCUCCCAGGAAUCCUAAUGUCACGAUCUCACUGCAGCCAAUGUGACAAACACAGCAGUAAUUAAGUCUAGAGAGCUAAACACACCUCAAAAAGAAUUGUCUCUUGGUAUGAGUGGAAUGGAAUAAAAUACAUGGAAACCCACAAAAGUUUCGAGGUGAACAUAUUAGCAAAAAUGCUCUAGCUUAUCCAAGCGACAGUUCAAAGUGUCAAAGGACUUCUAGACUCCCAAUCUUUCCACCGGCAGAAAGCAGGCUCAGUAGCCCAAACUGGCGCAUUUUAAAAUGCCCUUUUCAGAAGUGUGAUGGAAAAAGAAGGAUGUGUCAGUGCAGGCCAGUGUGUGGGGACCAAUGGCAAACUGCAGCUCCUGAACUAAGAAAGACUUUCAUAUCUUUAAAAAAGAAAAGGAGAAAUAGGAAUAUGUGAUAGAGACUGUAUGUGGCCCACAAAGCCUAACAUAUUUACUGUUUAGAUCUUUACAGAAAAUGUUUGCCAACUCCUGUGCUGCUGAGCCACUUCCAGGUUGCAGAACCAAAGCCUUACAUUCCCUAGCUUUAAAGUAGAGGACCUGGCAAUAGGUUCACAGAGAGGACACAAGCACAGGUUUGAAAGAGGCUUUCGCGGUUGGACUCGCUUUCCUCUGCGUCUCUGCCUUCGCUAUGAGAAGAACGGGCACCGGUCUUGGGAAGAUGGUGAGAGAAACACAGAACCAAGCUGCUCUAGACAGGCCUAGCCUAGACCAGGUGGCCCGCAGACCAUUACUGAGCCCAGCCUGGAUCAUCCAACUCCCAGCCAAACUGCAGACCAUGAGGAAUGUUUAUUGUUGUCACGGAGAUUUAGGGUGGCUCAUGCAGCAAAAGCCAGUUGAUGGCCGUAGGUGGGAUUAUAAUCCCGGAUACAUUAAAAUGCCAGUCUCUUCUUUUCCCCAUGUCUUCAUUUGCUCACUCUCAGGUGAAGGGAUCUUGCUUGGAGGCCCAGACGUUCUGGAUUUUCUCUUUAGAAACUGUGGCUUGAAGCAUCCUCUUCAGGAAACAAUAUUUACUCCUUUUGUAUCUCCAAAACCCCUCCUCACCCCUUUUGCAACCCAAACCCAAGUGUCUUCUGUGUCCUAUUUUUCUUCUUUUG